rnacentral:rRNA from 1 species
CAGCCGCCACGGUAAUACAGAGGGUGCGAGCGUUAAUCGGAUUUACUGGGCGUAAAGCGUGCGUAGGCGGCUUCUUAAGUCGGAUGUGAAAUCCCUGAGCUUAACUUAGGGAUUGCAUUCGAUACUGGGAAGCUAGAGUAUGGGAGAGGAUGGUAGAAUUCCAGGUGUAGCGGUGAAAUGCGUAGAGAUCUGGAGGAAUACCGAUGGCGAAGGCAGCCAUCUGGCCUAAUACUGACGCUGAGGUACGAAAGCAUGGGGAGCAAACAGGAUUAGAUACCCGCGUAGUCCCUGUCUCUUAUAC